rnacentral:rRNA from 1 species
UGGGGAAUUUUGGACAAUGGGCGAAAGCCUGAUCCAGCAAUGCCGCGUGUGUGAAGAAGGCCUUCGGGUUGUAAAGCACUUUUGUCCGGAAAGAAAUCCUUGGCUCUAAUACAGUCGGGGGAUGACGGUACCGGAAGAAUAAGCACCGGCUAACUACGUGCCAGCAGCCGCGGUAAUACGUAGGGUGCAAGCGUUAAUCGGAAUUACUGGGCGUAAAGCGUGCGCAGGCGGUUUGCUAAGACCGAUGUGAAAUCCCCGGGCUCAACCUGGGAACUGCAUUGGUGACUGGCAGGCUAGAGUAUGGCAGAGGGGGGUAGAAUUCCACGUGUAGCAGUGAAAUGCGUAGAGAUGUGGAGGAAUACCGAUGGCGAAGGCAGCCCCCUGGACCAAUACUGACGCUCAUGCACGAAAGCGUGGGGAGCAAACAGGAUUAGAUACCCUAGGUAGUCCACGCCCUAAACGAUGUCAACUAGUUGUUGGGGAUUCAUUUCCUUAGUAACGUAGCUAACGCGUGAAGUUGACCGCCUGGGGAGUACGGUCGCAAGAUUAAAACUCAAAUGAAUUGACGGGGUCCUA